rnacentral:rRNA from 1 species
AGAAAUAAAUUACUACCUUAACGUAAAACACAGGUAAAAUGAAAUCUCUUACCCAAAGCAAUUUGAACCCACGAAAACUAAGAAACAAACUAGGAUUAGAUACCCUACUAUGCUUAGUUGUAAAUAAGACGCACACCAACACAAGCGUCCGCCAGAGAACUACAAGCGAAAAGCUUAAAACUCAAAAGACUUGGCGGUGUCCCAAACCCGACUUAGAGGAGCCUGUCCUAUAACCGAUAAUCCACGAUAAACCCAACCACCCCUUGCCAGCCAGCCUAUAUACCGCCGUCGCAAACCUACCUUACAAAAGAACAACAGUAGGUACAACAGUAAAACCACUAAAACGUCAGGUCAAGGUGUAGCUAAUGGGGUGGAAGAGAUGGGCUACAUUCUUUAACGUAAAGUAAACAGAAAAGGUCAUGAAACAGACCUCCAAAGGAGGAUUUAACAGUAAGUUUGGCAAGAAAGCCAACCUUAAACCCGCUCUGGG